AAGAGGUUCAUUAAGAAGCUGCUAACUAUCCUAAAAACAUUAAGUUGUUAACCUCUUU
rnacentral:tRNA from 1 species